rnacentral:rRNA from 1 species
AAUAGAUACCCUGGUAGUCCACGCCGUAAACGAUGAGUGCUAAGUGUUAGAGGGUUUCCGCCCUUUAGUGCUGCAGCUAACGCAUUAAGCACUCCGCCUGGGGAGUACGGCCGCAAGGCUGAAACUCAAAGGGAAUUGACGGGGGCCCGCACAAGCGGUGGAGCAUGUGGUUUAAUUCGAAGCAACGCGAAGAACCUUACCAGGUCUUGACAUCCUCUGACACUCCUAGAGAUAGGACUUUCCCCUUCGGGGGGACAGAGUGACAGGUGGUGCAUGGUUGUCGUCAGCUCGUGUCGUGAGAUGUUGGGUUAAGUCCCGCAACGAGCGCAACCCUUGAUCUUAGUUGCCAGCAUUCAGUUGGGCACUCUAAGGUGACUGCCGGUGACAAACCGGAGGAAGGUGGGGAUGACGUCAAAUCAUCAUGCCCCUUAUGACCUGGGCUACACACGUGCUACAAUGGAUGGUACAAAAGGGCAGCAAAGCCGCGAGGCCUAGCCAAUCCCAUAAAACCAUUCUCAGUUCGGAUUGGUA